rnacentral:rRNA from 1 species
GAUCCUGGCUCAGGAUGAACGCUGGCGGCGUGCCUAACACAUGCAAGUCGAGCGAGAAACUCAUGACAGAAGCUUCGGUUGAAGUCAUGGGUGGAAAGCGGCGGACGGGUGAGUAACGCGUAGGCAACCUGCCCUUUGCAGAGGGAUAGCCUCGGGAAACCGGGAUUAAAACCUCAUGAUGCCGUGUGAAGACAUCUUCAUAUGGUCAAAGAUUUAUCGGCAAAGGAUGGG